rnacentral:rRNA from 1 species
GCACGUAGUUAGCCGGUGCUUAUUCUGCAGGUACCGUCAUUAGCGCCCCUUAUUAGGGAGCGUCGUGUUCGUCUCCUGCCAAAAGCGGUUUACAACCCGAAGGCCUUCUUCCCGCACGCGGCAUGGCUGGAUCAGGCUUGCGCCCAUUGUCCAAAAUUCCCCA